rnacentral:snRNA from 1 species
UUGUUACACUUUGCGCCGUUCUC